GAAAGGGCCUGCAUCAGCUGUUUGUGGUCCGGCCGAGAGGGCUGUGACCGUCCCUAACACGAGUGUGCCGUGUAAUUUUCGGACGACUUCUCGUGGGGAAGCCAGUGUCGCAGACUCCACCCCGGUAUGAACUAAGAAUACUCUGUGAGGCCUAAUGACCAAACUAAUCAAGUUCCUCUCAAACAAGAGCAGUGGCAAAACCAAGGAUUUGAGCAUAAAGGACACUAUAUGUUAGAACCAACCUUGAGAAUAGGAAACCCAGAACACAGAAGAGAGACCACUGAAAAUUUCAUGCUGUUUCACCUUUUCACUGUCUUUACUGUAAGCAUGCGUCGUAGUAGGAAUAUUGAUCGUUCACGACACAGUAAACACAGCUCCAGUAUAAAUGCUUCAAAGCACGUUCUGGAUCUUGUUUCUUUUUAUGCCCGGUCUAUACCAUAACACAGCACCCGUUUGUUGGUCCAAAGAAAAUACCGUCUGACUCCUUAAUUGCCUGAGGUUCACGGCGGCUCACAUUGUGGGUUCUCAAUAAAACAUUAA